CUGGGGAACGUAACACUAUUCUACACAUUUUGCCAUGAGGCUGAGAGAAAAUGUUUUUAUUUUAAACUAAUUACCGCAAAAUUAUUAGUGUGUUGACUGUUAAAGUCACUGGAUUAUGAGAUUUCUUGUUUGCUAUAUGAACAAGUGAAAUACACAGUGACACAUGCCUCAAUGCUGUCAUAUUCCUGGCUUAUUGGGGGUGUGGCUUUCAGUUAGUUAUUUUUGGCAAGGAUAAUGUAGCUAUCAUACAGAACUACUACACAUCCUGUUGCAAGCUUUGACGUAUUCACUCAAGGCGCAGGCUAAUCUUAGGUCUCUCCGUUGAUCAGAAGCAAGGAGGGUUCUGUGCUAUGUACCGGAUUGCAACCACCACUCCGAUAAGCACACGUGUAUUUUCUCAUUUUUCGAACUCGGUUCAAGGAGACAUGCCAUUCCACUGAACCUGCCACAGAGAAGGUGUUUUAGCUACUGAAGAUCCUCCUCUGUUGGCUCUCGGGACAGAGGGUUGAAGUCUUCGGCUGGGUACAGGUCCUCCACUGACUGCACCUGGUUGGUCACGGCUGGCUUCCUCCACUCACAUUCCACAUCCGUAUGGCCGAAAUUGUGAACUGCCAAAAUAGGCUGCAUGGCUACACUUAUGAGCUCCACGGAGGCAUUUGCAUGUGGUAUAGAGAAUCCCCUGGUGACCUAAAGAGACCUGCCAAGAGGAAGGAUGUUAAGUGACACAUAUCUUUCAAUUCAUGACUUUGAACACCUUGAAAUGCAAUUGUUAAAAGAAAUGUGCUAUAUUGAUGUCUGACAUUACUGCUAUAGGGGACAAGUGCAGUUUUUCAAUAAACUUAAUUUAUAACUUGGGAUUUUAUCACUCAUAUAGGGGGAAGGAUCCUAUAAAUGAAGGCUAUGUGAAUGGAUUUACCAGUCCGAAUAAAUAAAUACUGUGCUUUUGAAGAUUUCUCUCUGGUCAUGAAACUACAAUACAGGCUAGAUGUCUAAACAAAGUCAAUUCUGAAUGUCAUUAGAUUUUUAGAUUCAUUCUCAUCAAUGACAACAUUCUAGAACUGUUAUCACUGAAGUCUGGUAUCCGGGGUGAUCUAGUUAUUGAUUAUAUAAUUAAUCUCUUGUAGAAUGUUGACAGCUGUAUAGAACGCUUUGUAUUGCUAAGAUGCUCAAACUUAACUUAAUAGCUACACUCACCGACACAGGAUAAACGUUAUCCCUCACGAUGGCCCUGAUCAAACUGGUAAGUUGCCACUAAACUAUAGCUGUACUUAUCCAGAAUCCAAGACUUAUAGUGGUCUUCUCCCCUUUUUAAUGCUCUUAUGCUCAUCCUUGAAGAAAAUGCCAUAAGGUCUGAAAUAGACAUACUUUACAAACAAUUACCUAGGCUAAGUAAUCCAAAAUUAUUUUUUGAUCUACUGACUAAGACAGAGAAAGGAGAUGAAAGAUGUUCAAUACUUUAUUCACUUCAUUUCAAUGCAGCACAUGGAUUCAUCGUGGAUUCGGCACAGCUCUCUGAUCGCACUGGUGAACGGUAGCUGACAGUGCUGGCUAGAGAUGACAUGCAGGAGCAUCCUGCAGAAAUGUGUGGUCUUGCAGAGGUCUUCUCUGUUGCUAAUUAGCAUUUAACAUUUUUUAGUGUAAAUUGGGGCUAAUAUAUUAAUAAAACUCACCUUGUCUGAGAGAGAAUAACACGGUUAUCAUGACAUCACACCAAGGUAAGCCUACACAAAACACAUACUUAAUUUGAAGUGUUUGUAAAAUUCACUAUGUGAAAAAUGAAUGGUGGAAAGAUGAUUGGAACCAUUUCCGUGUUUGACCGCUAGGUUUUAUGGGUAUUAUGACAUGUCCACUGUGGAGCUCUUAUAGAGCUGUUCUGAUCUCUGAACCUCUUCUAAACAGAUGUAGUGUCACCAGUGAAUUGUGCAAUGAUGAUGUGAUAUGUUUAUAUAUAUAUACAGUAACUUCACUCAAAAAUUUUGGCAAAUUGGAAAUUAUUUACUUUAUUCACACUUUUUAGUUUUGGUUUGGGUAGCAACACACAUCACAUGCGGAAGCACAUGCCUCCCAGGCAGUAGUUUGGUUAGACCCGAUUCAGUGAUUAAGAUUCCACAUAACUAUGAUUGCAUUUAGAUCUCAUGAAAUAUGUUAGAAAUACAGUCUAGAAGCAAAGAAACAUCUAAGCACUUUAUAAAGGCACAGAUGAUUAAAAGCAGAAUCUGAUUAAUAGAGCCAUGAUUGGAUUUUUGUAAUUAUCAUAACCUAUUGUCAAAUAUGAUCAUGUAUAAUAUUUGAAUGGUCAUUAUUUUAAUUGAAGAGCUGAUUCAAAUAGAUUGCCAAUACAAGUAAUUACUUGAUUCGUUUCAUCUUAAUAUACAGUAUAUAUCCCAUAUUGUAGACUCAAUUAAAGUGUAACAUACUGUUUCGAAUAUGUACCAUUUUGAACAUACACAUACAUCGCAUAUGUAAUAAUUAAGCAAUAAGGCCCGAGGGGCUGUGGUAUAUGGCCAAUACACCACGGCUGAGGACUGUUCUUAGGCACGACGGGGCUCAAAGUGCCUGGAUACUUCCCUUAGCCGUGGUGUUUUGACCAUAUACUGUAUCACAAACCCCAGAGGUGCCUUAUUGCUAUUAUAAACGGUUUACCAACAUAUACUGAACAAAAAUAUAAAUG